CCCGAGCACGGUUGCCUGAGGUCCGAUGGCCCGAGAGCUGGGACUCAGUUCUUGGCCUGCUAGCGGCUGAACAGGCCGCACGUCUCACUUCAGUUGUGGCCUCAUUCAGCAGAAUGACUCUGGAACCAUCCUCUGUUACCCGCAGAUCCUGUCCCAUGGGCUCUGGCCCCAAGAUGUUGGGGGGCCCCACGGAGAGUUGACUUGGUAGAGUUCCUUUCUGGGAAGAAAGUAGGAGUGGCUGACCAGGCCCUGCUCAUCACCCGGAUAGAGGACACGGACCCUGUGUGGUAUUUUGGCAUUUUGGCUCAGAGUCCAAUGUACCAUGUUGCCCAGAAUUUCAUACUUACGGCCUUUACAUGAAUACGUUUUGAUCAGACAUUCAGAGAUUAGUCUUAGGUUUGCACGUAAGUCACUGAAAACAGUAAAACAGGCUGCUUAGAUUUCUAGCAGUAUGUGUGCUCUUAUCCCCAGCUGUUAGCAUGUUAGUAAUACUUUUGGGGAGGAGUUGUCUGUCCUGGUCAGUUUUCACAGAGGCGGUUGUAAGAGGAUGUGGUUAUUUUCUCCAUGUCUGUAGUUGCUUUGCGGCAUCUCCAUUUCACGGGCAACACUCACUGCCUGCAGCUGAGAUUCCAGAACGCCCUGUGUCCACAGUGAUUAGCCUCGUCUUUCAGCGAGCAUAAAAUAAGUGCAUUGUCCUUUUCUUUUCUUGAGGCAGGGUCUCACUCUGUUGACCAGGCUGGAGUGAAGUGGUGUGAUCCUAUCUCACUGCAGCCUCGACCUCCCUGGCUUGAGUGAUCCUCCCGCCCCAGCCUCCUGAGUAGCUGGGACUAGAGGCGCGCACCAUCACGCCUACCUUUUUAUUUUUUUUGUAGAGACAGGGUCUCACUGUGUUGCCCAGGCUGGUCUUGAACUCUUGGCCUCAAGCGAUCCUCCUUCCUCAUCCUUCUAAAGUGCUGGGAUUACAGGUGUGAGCCACAGCACUCGGCCUAAAUAGGUUUUUCUUGCUAUGUUAUUUUCAGUGCUUUGCCCUUGAAUUCUUUUCCUCUCUUAAAUUCAUAUCAUUUGGCCGAGUCAGCACGUAGUUUGCAUUCCAGCGUCUGCUGUUGAUUCCACUGAAACCUCUGUUCUCAUGAGGGAGAGGAUUUGGCUCGCUGUGGUUUCUCGUACUUUCACAUCUCUGUAGAUACAGGGGCAAAAGUCAUUGCUGACAGAGCCCUAUCUAUGUCCUGGAAGUGUGUGUUUCUUGCUUUGAAUGCAUGUGUGAAGAUUAUAAAAGCCAAAUAGUUUUUAAAGAUCUCGGUGCUGAACGACAGUCCCAGUUCCUAUUUGUGUCCCAUUGUCUUUGUGGUGUCACCCGCACUGUUUGCUUCAUUGUCUGGGGAACAACUGCACAUCCGUGUACUUUGUGCCAUUUCUGGGCUCACGCGUCACUCCUAGCAGAGCCUCUUAACUGAGACUGCUGGAUUGCAGCUGCUUGAGGCAACACAGGAGGUUAGAACAUGUCCCGAGGGCUCUGAAACAGCAGGACAUCCUGGGUGGGUGGAGCUGGGGAGGGCAUGGGCAGGCCAGCUGGCCGAGCUCCUGGCUGGCUCUCCUGAGUCCUCUGGACAUGGCUUGUCCCUGUCAGACUGUAGCUCUUCAGGACCUGAGCUCUUCCCGUUCUUGACCUGCUCUUGUGCUGACUGUGCUGGGCUGAUGGGUAGGCGCUUAUCCCCAGUGAGUGGCUGUGUCCUCAGGGUGCCCCUCUUCCAGACCAACUGCAGCAAGGCCUGGAGCCUGACUCUAGGUGCAGCCCAUGUGGCUGGAAUCCCUUGUGCCACCCAGGGGACUCGGGCCCUGCUCCUCCUGCAGCCCCUCCUCACCUGGGCUCGCUGCUGGAGUGAGGUUUUUAGGGAGCCCAGAGCGUACUCAUCUCUGAGCUGCUGGGCCCAGCUGCCUGGCGCAUACCUCUUGCCUCCGUCCUGUCCCCCAGAACGCUUUAUGGAGACUGCCGUGUCCUCCGAGCACUUUGUUUUCACUUCCUGACCAGUCUCAGAAGCUCAAGUGGUUGAAUGUUUUAGCCUCAGAAUCUUUUUCCCCAAGCCCUCUCAGGUGGAGCCCCGCUGUACCAGACACCACAGCACAGCUCUGUGAGGCUGUGUCUCUUCACUCUGUUUCUGGGGCUGCUGAGGCCCCUGGGAAGCCCUGGAGCUUGCCAGAGCAGAGCGAGAAAGUCUCUGGUCCUGUUUAAAUGCCUCCGCGUUUUAUCUGUGAGCACCAGGCUGGAACCACUCCCUGUCUUCUCACAGUGCCCCUGCAAGUUGCAGCCUCAGUUCUCCAGUGGCUAGUGGGGCAGCAGGUGCUGCAUCAUAUGGUUUGGGACCUCUGUGGCUGCUUCCAGCCUGCUAAUAGAACCUCUUUCCACCACUGCCUUCAUCUUUGGGGUGGCACCCCUGAGUGCUCAGGCCUGAGGGCGCUCCUUUGUCCUCACUCGGGACAGGCAGCCUCCACUCUGGGAGCUCCCAUCCCUCGGGAUGCCCAGGAGAGGCCAUACUUUCAGGGUGGCAUGGUGAAUUCAGGGGUUAGGAUGGGUAGGUGGUCUUUCAGCCCCUUGUAUGUUGGGGUUGGUUUACAGAACACCUGUCCUGCCUGUGCCAGCCUGGCCUUCUGCGGGCACCCCAGGCACGCUGUCCUGGAAGUUGUCUGUCUCCUGCAUAGGAGGGUCUAGAGCAGACCUUGCCCUGGGCCUGUCUGUGCGUGACUUCCAUACACUUCAUUCGUGCUCAGCCAUGGCUGAGCAUGCGAUGGAGAGCACUUGGGCCGCCCCUGACGUCGCAGGCCACUGUUCUUAUCCAGUGGGCCAAGUGAUUGAUUGCUAGUGGUGGGUUGAUUGGAAGAAAGGAAGUCGCAGCCCCUGCCCACGGCUUCCCCAGCUCGCUGGGGUUGGAGGACUGUCAUCAGUUGUCCCCAGUUAAAGUCCAUUUGGAGGAGGUUCAGGGUCCCAGUGGCUGGAUGUGCUUCUGGAGGGACACGGUUUGAGGCAGGGGUUUGCAGAAGGUGUAGACUGCAUCCAUUCUUGGGAGGCUGUGGCACAAGGCAGCGACAACUUGGGACAAAUCAAGACCCGUCCACACUGCACCUCAGGGACCUCACCUCACGCCCCACAUAAAUGUGCUUAUUGGGGGGCCGGGUGUGGUGGCUCCCACCUGAAAUCCCAGUACUCUGGAAGGCCACGGCAGGAGGAUCACUUUAGUUCAGGAGUUUGAAACCAGCCUGGGCAACAUAGGGAGACCCCAUCUCUACAGAAAGUAAAAGAAAAUGAGCCAGGUGUGGUGGCAUGUGCCUGUAACCCCAGCUACCCAGGAGGCCGAGGUGGGAGGAUCCCCAAGCCCAGGAGUUUGAGGCUGCAGUGAGUUAUGGCCUCUGCACUCCAGCCUGGGUGACAGAGUGAGAGACCUAAUCUCUAAAAAAAAAAAAAAUAACAAAAUGUGCUUUGGGAUCAGGUGUGGAGAUCAGGGUCGGGGAGGUCAUGAGGUAGGUAGGGGUCAGGAUGUGGACAGUCAUGGGCUGGUGGGUGUGGCAGCUGUGAGGGGUGGGUGGUGGCCUGGGAGGCAGGGCCUGGGCAGGGCUUCUGCACUUCUGCUGCUUACCCAGCCCCCUCUGGGUUCGAGGACUCUCCUUGACAAGGGGUGAGCUCUCGGGCACUGCGUUGGACUCAGCUGCCUACUGGGAGGCUGGGGAGAAUGGACCUGUGAGACCUUGUUUGUCCUCUUCCCUGCCCAGCUCCUGUAGACCCCAGGCCUGGCUGUCCGCAGGGCCAGGAGCUGCAGCCAUGGCAGCCACCAGCCUCCCACAUGAGCCCCAGCUCCCAGCCCCACACGCCCACUCCUUUGCCCAUGUGGUGUCAGCUCUGGCCUCCGCUUCCACACAUGGACCCUCAGACCUUGCACAUCUGUUGUUUCCCUUGCAGGGCAGUGAUGAUGACAUGAAAUGAGGUGGGGUCACUCCUGUUUAGGGAUGAGACCAGGGCCCAGGGAGGGGCAGGUGUGAAGUUACUGAGGGCAGAGGGAGACCCAGGGCUACCUGCUCCUAAUGACCAGCCUCACGUUCUCCACUGCUCACUCCCUGCCAUUCACCAGCUGCAUGACCUUGAGCAGUGCACUCAACUGUAAACAGAGGUGAAAACACUCCUUUACCAACUGUUUUAGGGGCCACUCUUGUUUGAGGCCUUGAACCUCCUUUCAGUUCCAUGGUGGUCCUGAGCCUCUGAAUCUGGGUAUGGCCCCUGCUGGGUCCUGGUCUCUUAGGCAGCGUGAUGGCCUCCCUGCUCAAGGCCCUGCACCCAGGGGCAGAUUGUGGGAGGCCCACUGGCCAUGGCUGGGCCCUAUCGCAGAGAGCCUGUCAGCACGGCCAUUUCCACACCCAGGCUGGCUGGGAAGCGAGCUACGAGGUGCUCAAAGGCCCUCUAUGUCCACAGGUAGCCCCGUCCCACACAGGCGAGGAUCGUUGGGCCUCCUUAGUAGCCAAAGGAACUGAGGUUCAGAGCAGGGAAUGUGUUGCCCAGUGUCAGCAUGGUCUGCUCUGGGGUCAGGCGUCUUGCCCUGGUCUUAAGCCACCCCAAGCCAAGGCAUGUCCCUGGGCCCAUUUCCUCUCUUGAGGUCUUGGGUUCCCUAUUUCUGAUGUGUGUGAAAGGAGGGCCUGUCCUCUGGGGUGACCAUGAGGCUCAGUGGGAGGAGCUGCCAGGCUUGAGCUGGGACUUGGCACCUGGCCAGCCUUUUUUCUAUUUCAUUGUACCUUGAUGGGCUGUCAGUUCUGAAGAGAAAAAAUACACUAGGAAUCCAUUCUUCCUCCACCAUUCUCCCUGGCAGAGGGAAGUGACUACACCCCUAUGGUGUGGACAUACUGACGCUCCUCCAUGAAGCAGCAAAGUUCUGUUGUUUCAGGAGACUGUGGGCCUUGAGGAUGUGGUAGUGACCUCACCAGAGGAGUUGGCAAUUCCUAAGUGCUGCCUGGAGGCCUCUACAGAGACAUAAUGUUGGAGAACUUCUGCCACAUGGCAGUGCUGGGUUCACCUGGUCCAGAAGGGGAGGCAGACCCACCUGCCCACCAUGACCCGGACAGAGGCGAUAAAUACGGAGCACCUCAUGGCCAGGGCCUGGAGGAUUCCCACCAUACCCUACCCAGCGCCAAUAACAGAGGGACCCUGGAGUUGUGUACACAAGAUAGCAGUUCAGUGCUUGCACACAUACUAGUUGAGAAGGGAAAUCAGGGCUAAUGAAACAGCUCAACUGUCUGGCAGAGCCAGGCUCCUUCUGCCAUGAUACAGUUUGGAUGUUUGUCCCUUUCUAAUCUUAUAUGGAAAUUUGAUCCCCAGUGUUGAAGGUGGGGCCUGGUGGGAGAUGUUCCUGUUAUCGGGAUGGAUCCUUCAUGAAUAGCCUGGUGCCAUCUUUGUGGUAACAAGUGAGUUCUCACUUGAUUAGUUUCUGUGAGAACUGUUUGUUAAAAAGAGCCUGGUGGCACCUCCCUCCCUUCUUCCUCCUUCUCUUGCUAUGUGAUGCUGCUGCCCUUUGCCUUCCGUCAUGAGUGGAAGCUCCCUGAAGCCCCCACCAGAAGCAAAUGCUGGCACCAUGCUGCUUGUACAGCCUGCAGAACUGUGAGCCAAAUAAACCUCUUUUCUUUAUAAAUUACUCAGCCUCAGGUGUUACUUUAUAACCAUGCAAACAGACCAAGACAUGCCAUGUGUAUUUCAUGAAGGGAGCCACAGGGUUGAAGAUGUUACAGGACACCUGCUCUAAUCCCCACCACUGUGUCUGCCUCCAGAAAGCACACCACUUCUGCUCCUGUCCCUCGAGCCAGG
rnacentral:lncRNA from 1 species